AAGACUACUACAAUGUAUAUUCUUUCUUUGGUGACUCCAGGUCUACUACUACGACUACUACAUAUUGAUACCAUAGAUUGUUUGUUUUGGACAAAACCUUUCUCUACGCACCUUCAGACUAAGCCAUGGCGUUCCCAUUCUUGGAAGUAGUUGUUGGUUCUAUGAUAUUGAUGUACAUAUUUGAAACUUACUUGGAUUUGAGGCAACAUUCAGCACUCAAACUUCCAACACUUCCUAAAACUUUGGAAGGACUAAUCAGCCAAGAGAAGUUUGAGAAGUCGCGAGCCUACCGUCUUGAAAGAAGCCACUUCCGUUUUCUUUGUCAGUUAGUGAGAAUACUUGUGGAAUCAGCAAUUUUGUUCUUUAAGGUUUUGCCUUGGUUUUGGAAGAAAUCAGGACACUUCGUAGAUUUAGUUGGCCUCAACGAAGAAAAUGAAAUACUACAUACCCUUGCAUUUUUAGCUGGUGUGAUGAUUUGGUUAGAGAUCACAAAUUUACCAUUUUCUCUCUACUCCAUAUUUGUGAUCGAGGCCCGUCAUGGUUUUAAUAAGCGAACAAUAUGGUUAUUUUUUAGUGACAGGCUUAAAGGAAUUUUUCUUUCUGUUAUUCUUGUCCCGCCUAUUGUGUCUGCAGCAAUUUUAAUUGUAAAGAAAGGAGGUGCUUACUCGGUCAUUUAUCUGUGGGUGCUCACGGUUGUUCUUUCUCUUGUUAUGAUGACAAUCUACCCUAUUCUAAUAGCCCCACUCUUUCACAAGUUCACCCCUCUUCCAGAGGGUCAGCUACGAGAGAAAAUUGAGACGCUUGCUUCAUCCCUUGAGUUUCCAUUGAAGAAACUGUUUGUGGUUGAUGGAUCUACAAGGUCAAGUCACAGCAAUGCCUAUAUGUAUGGAUUUUUUAACAACAAGAGGAUUGUCCUCUAUGAUACGCUGAUUCAGCAGUGCAAAAAUGAUGAGGAAAUUGUAGCUGUUAUAGCUCAUGAGCUAGGCCAUUGGAAGCGUAAUCACAUAGUGUACUUUUUAAUUGCCAACCAGAUCUGUGCACUUCUAUACAUUGGGGGCUAUACUCUUGUGAGGAACUGGAGUAGUCUGUUUCAAAGUUUUGGGUUUCAUACUAGACCACUAAUCAUUGCUCUCAUCAUAUUUCAGUAUGCCAUAACACCUAUUCAAAAUCUAGUAUACUUUGCUGGUAACCUUGUGAGCCGAGCUUUUGAAUAUCAGGCUGAUGCUUUUGCUAAGAAACUUGGUUAUGCCUCUUCGAUCCGAGCCAGUCUUGUUAGGCUACAGGAAGAGAAUUUGUCAGCUAUGAAUAUUGAUCCUUGGUACUCAGCAUAUCACAACACUCACCCCACGCUUGUUGAAAGGUUAGCUGCAAUUGGUCAGACGGACAAGGAGGAAUGCAGUGCAUGAUGAGCCAUGUAACUGUAACUGGGUAAAGUUAAUAGAGGAUGAUACUAUACGGUUGUCUUUGCCUAUUUUCUAGUAGUGCUAAUUGAGAAUAUUCGAGGAUUGUAAGGGUGUCUUUACAUUGCUCACCAAAUGAGAGAUUGUUGGUAGCGGGGAUCGAACUUGUGUGAGUUUACACCUCAAGUCCGCCCUUGCCAACUGAACCAACUCUCAUUGGCGUAUAUGUAUGUAUAUUGACAAGCUUUUCACAUAGUGUUAUCAAUAACUGAGAU